rnacentral:lncRNA from 1 species
CUGGAAGGCAGUUGUUUCAUGAUCCAGCUCGGCUUUUAUUAUGAAGUAAUAAAAAGUCUAUUUGAACUUACAUGCUCCGGUAUUUGUGAAAUAUGAUUAACAAAAUAUUUCCACGACAUAAAUGGCGAGCUAGCCAGGAGUGGCGAAAAGGGACCAGAGACGGUGAAAAUCUGCAGCUGUGAAUGGGUUUCCUGGACGGACUGCACAAAACACAAGCGGCCGCUUGUUAAGACGGACCUGAGCCCUAGGACCAUGCCUCAGGACUACCUGGCAUGAUGACUCCUUGCUGUCCCCAGUCCACCUGGCCGUGCUGCUGCUCCAGUUUCAACUGUUCUGCCUGCGGCUAUGGAACCCUGACCUGUUCACCGGACGUGCUUGUUGCACCCUCGACAACUACUAUGAUUAUUAUUAUUUGACCAUGCUGGUCAUUUAUGAACAUUUUAACAUCUUGACCAUGUUCUGUUAUAAUAUCCACCCGGCACAGCCAGAAGAGGACUGGCCACCCCUCAUAGCCUGUUUCCUCUCUAGGUUUCUUCCUAGGUUUUUGGCCUUUCUAGGGAGUUUUUCCUAGGGAGUUUUUCCUAGCCACCGUGCUUCUUUCACAUGCUUUGCUUGCUGUUUGGGGUUUUAGGCUGGGUUUCUGUACAGCACUUUGAGAAUAUCAGCUGAUGUACGAAGGGC